rnacentral:rRNA from 1 species
GAUCAUGGCUCAGGAUGAACGCUGGCGGCGUGCCUAAUACAUGCAAGUCGAACGAGGGUGCUUGCACCCUAGUGGCGAACGGGUGAGUAACACGUAGGUAACCUGCCCUUAAGCUUGGGAUACCCAGAGGAAACUUUGGCUAAUACCGGAUAACAACAGAAGAGGCAUCUCUUCAGUUUGAAAGGCCCUUUACGGGGUCACUUAAGGAUGGACCUGCGGCGCAUUAGCUAGUUGGUGAGAUAACAGCCCACCAAGGCGAGGAUGCGUAGCCGACCUGAGAGGGUGAUCGGCCACAUUGGAACUGAGACACGGUCCAAACUCCUACGGGAGGCAGCAGUAAGGAGUUUUCGGCAAUGGGGGAAACCCUGACCGAGCAACGCCGCGUGAGUGAAUGACGGCCCUAUGGGUUGUAAAGCUCUGUUGUAAGGGACGAAUGAUUCGCUUAGGAAAUGAAGCGGAUUUGACGGUACCUUACCAGAAAGCCACGGCUAACUACGUGCCAGCAGCCGC